GCUGACUGCCACUGGGAGGGCUCUCUUUCUGGAGAUCCCUUUUCUGUGGAGUCUCUCUUGCCAGCCUAGGUCUUUGAAUGCAGGUUACUAGCAGUAUAGCAGGGAUGUGGUAUGAUACAUAUAAAGGUGAAGAGAGAUCCUGAGUGAUUUCCACAGGCAGGAAGAGGCACUGCCUUGUCUCUUCCCUCCUUACUAGAACCUGGUUUUGCUGCUCCGUCUCUCAGGUGUCAAGAGAUGUUUUUUCCUUUCCUGGAAGCAAAGUAACCCAAUUUUAGUCAUAGAACUUCACUGUAUACAGCAGGAACUCUUGUUUUGAAAACACAGUAAAUGCAGACCCUGGGGAGGAAGGAAUGACUAAAUGACACAGAAAAUUUGCACUUUACUCAAGGCAGUGGGAGAAGUGUGAGCUCUCUGUCUGUUACAAGGGACCAUGGGAGAGGACUGAGUACAGAAGAGCUUUGGGAUGUCAAGUCUCCAGAUGGUUACUGUCAGAGGUUGCAGCAGGUGGAAGGCAGAAGAUGCAUGUGAAAUUAGCAGAGAGGACAGCACAGGGCUGAGAGCCCAAUUCUUCUUGACCGGAGAGACCAAAGUUGGUAAUGCCUGUUCCCAAAGAGCUGUGAUUGGAGCAUUGAGCAGCAUCUCCAGAUGACAAAUAAAGGAAGAAACAGCUCUCAGGUUGUACCAGACCUGAAAAGUAAUUAUGUAUCAGCUACUUGGAAAGGAGACUUACUGCCAGAAUGUAGCAGAAUCCAGCCAUCAAACUCAUCUGGGACUCAUUUCUUCCUUUUUCUUCUCAUCUCAAGUGGAGUAUGCUUAAUUCCCUUUUGGAGCAGCAAAAAUGGCAUGGAAAGAGGGAUGAGAAGUUGAGUUGAGUGAGCUAGGUGAAGCCCAGAUCCUACUACUGUGAUGUGCUGAUGGAUGGGAGUCUGCAUGACAUGAAAUGCAAUGAGAUGCAUACAGAAUUGAACUGUUGUUAAGCCCAUGGUCUGCUUAGACUGGACAGGUCAAACACCAACUGGAACAGAAAAGUGAACCCUUGUGCAAUGAGUAACAAAAAUAGAGGGAACACGAGGUAAAGUUACAAGGUGAAGAAUUAGUGCCAGUGUUACCAAGCAACGCACAGGUGACAAAUUAUGACCUAUGUUUAUGGACAGCAUACACCAACCUCACCCCUGCAGGGUGGAAGCCAGCAUCUUUGUGACCUUGCCACCUCACAGUCUGUGAUUAUAUCACCAGCUGGGACGCGAGAGCCAGAUAAUAACUUUUUUCCAUUCACAGGGAGUGUGUGAAUCUCCUUGAGGAACAGAAUGCCUGAAAUCAUUGGAUUCCAGGAUAGCUCAGCCUAUGACAGACUCAAACAUAUGAUUGCAGCUCUUAAAGUGUAACGAGACCCAACUGUACAGUGAAACAUUUCCAGACAUACGUAUGUGAUACAGGAAGAAUCAGGUGCAAAAAUUUCUCUGUUGUCUGGCCAUAAACUGCAACAAAUAUUCUCUGUAAAAUGUAAAAAUCCAGUGAACUCUCUAACACAAACCUUUAUUUAUGUUUGCACCCACCACACUUCUCUUUAGAGUUUAAGUAUCUUCAGAGUAAAAGUUGUGAGUUUUGGGUUGGUUUGGAUUUGUUGGUUGUUUUUUUUGUUUGUUUGUUUUUUGUUUUUUUGCUGUUUUGUUUUGCUUUGUUUUUAAUAAUACAUGCACAGAAGAAGGGACUUGAAUCCUCCUGUUCAGGAAGAAAAAAAAGAAUUUUCAUGCCUGUUAAUAUAUGAAUGUAUACAUAAAUCCAGAGUUGUACCGGACUUUCAAUAGCAUUAUGUUCAGCUGAGUGGCACCAUCAUAAGAGAGCUCCACGUUCACCAAGGGCUUGCGGAAGAGAGAGGACAGCAAGGAGAAGGCACAACAGGUACUAGGACAUGACAGUCAUUUGAAAAAGCAGGUAACAUUGAAAAAGCGUUGGACAAUAAGAGAUUCAGAGUAACUGACCAUAAUUUCAAUAGCCAGUUCAGCUGAAUGGGACUAAAUCCACCCACCAUGCUGUAUGCAUAUGAUAGGUAGGUACUGCCCUCUCUUUGUAUCUUAUCUCCUAAGAACACUAUGCUGAAGUAAUAAAAUAGUUCAGCAGUUGGAGACAAGGCAGAGGUUUGUGGGGGAGAAGCCAAUGUCUCUGGAUGGCCUAAUCUGUGACUGGAUUAGGACAGUAUUUUGA